rnacentral:rRNA from 1 species
AGUGAACGCUGGCGGCAGGCCUAACACAUGCAAGUCGAACGGCAGCACAGUAAGAGCUUGCUCUUACGGGUGGCGAGUGGCGGACGGGUGAGGAAUACAUCGGAAUCUACUUUUUCGUGGGGGAUAACGUAGGGAAACUUACGCUAAUACCGCAUACGAUCUACGGGUGAAAGCAGGGGAUCUUCGGACCUUGCGCGAUUGAAUUAGCCGAUGUCGGAUUAGCUAGUUGGCGGGGUAAGGGCCCACCAAGGCGACGAUCCGUAGCUGAUCUGAGAGGAUGAUCAGCCACACUGGAACUGAGACACGGUCCAGACUCCUACGGGAGGCAGCAGUGGGGAAUAUUGGACAAUGGGCGCAAGCCUGAUCCAGCCAUACCGCGUGGGUGAAGAAGGCCUUCGGGUUGUAAAGCCCUUUUGUUGGGGAAGAAAAGCAGCAGGUUAAUACCCCGCUGUUCUGACGGUACCCAAAGAAUAAGCACCGGCUAACUUCGUG